rnacentral:snRNA from 1 species
AUACUCUGGUUUCUCUUCAGAUCGUAUAAAUCUUUCGCCUUUUACUAAAGAUUUCCGUGGAGAGGAACAACUCUGAGUGUUACUCAAUUUUUUGAGGUCUCGUUUUAUACGAGACU